rnacentral:rRNA from 1 species
GGAAGGAUCAUUAUUGAAAUAAACCUGAUGAGUUGUUGCUGGUUCUCUAGGGAGCAUGUGCACACUUGUCAUCUUUAUAUCUCCACCUGUGCACCUUUUGUAGACCUGGAUAUCUCUCUGAAUGCUAGCCAUUCGGGUUUGAGGAUUGACUUUUGUGUCUCUCCUUACAUUUCCAGGCCUAUGUUUCUUCAUAUACCCCAAUGUAUGUUAUAGAAUGUAAUCAAUGGGCCUUGUGCCUAUAAACUUAUACAACUUUCAGCAACGGAUCUCUUGGCUCUCGCAUCGAUGAAGAACGCAGCGAAAUGCGAUAAGUAAUGUGAAUUGCAGAAUUCAGUGAAUCAUCGAAUCUUUGAACGCACCUUGCGCUCCUUGGUAUUCCGAGGAGCAUGCCUGUUUGAGUGUCAUUAAUAUAUCAACCUCUUCAGCUUUUGCUUGUCGAGUGUUGGAUGUGGGGGGUUUAUUUUUUGCUGGCCUUCUCAGGUCAGCUCCCCUAAAAUGCAUUAGCGGAACAAUCUGUGGACCGUUCAUUGGUGUGAUAACUAUCUACGCUAUUGACGUUAAGCAGUUCAGCUUCUAAUAGUCCAUUGACUUGGACAAAUUUUCAUUAAUGUGACCUCAAAUCAGGUAGGACUACCCGCUGAACUUAAGCAUAUCAAUAAGCGGAGGAAAAGAAACUAACAAGGAUUCCCCUAGUAACUGCGAGUGAAGCGGGAAAAGCUCAAAUUUAAAAUCUGUCAGUCUUUGGCUGUCCGAGUUGUAAUCUAGAGAAGCAUUAUCCGCGCUGGACCGUGUACAAGUCUCCUGGAAUGGAGCGUCAUAGAGGGUGAGAAUCCCGUCUUUGACACGGACUGCCAGGGCUUUGUGAUGUGCUCUCAAAGAGUCGAGUUGUUUGGGAAUGCAGCUCAAAAUGGGUGG